rnacentral:rRNA from 1 species
AACGAACGCUGGCGGCAUGCCUAACACAUGCAAGUCGAACGUGAUCCAGGGCUUCGGCUCUGGUGAAAGUGGCGGACGGGUGAGUAACGCGUGGGAACCUGCCCAGUGGUAGGGGAUAACCGCGGGAAACUGCGGCUAAUACCCUAUGUGCCCUCAGGGGCAAAGAUUUAUCGCCAUUGGAGGGGCCCGCGUCGGAUUAGGUAGUUGGUGAGGUAACGGCUCACCAAGCCUGCGAUCCGUAGCUGGUCUGAGAGGAUGAUCAGCCACACUGGGACUGAGACACGGCCCAGACUCCUACGGGAGGCAGCAGUGGGGAGUAUUGGACAAUGGGGGCAACCCUGAUCCAGCAAUGCCGCGUGAGUGAUGAAGGCCUUAGGGUUGUAAAGCUCUUUCGGCGGGGAAGAUGAUGACGGUACCCGCAGAAGAAGCCCCGGCUAACUUCGUGCCAGCAGCCGCAGUAACAC